rnacentral:lncRNA from 1 species
CGGGGUUUCACCAGGCUGGUCUCAAACUCCUGAUCUUAGGUGAUCCACCUGCCUCGGCCUCCCGUAGUGCUGGGAUUAUAGGCUUGAACCACCGUGCUUGGCCCAGGAGUUGUAUUCUUGAUCUAGGUUUAAAUGUAAACCUACACUUGGCCUAGGUUUUAAGUAAAACCCUACGUGUUUUUGCCUAUGUAAAGGUCUGUUAGGACAUUGGAAAGUUGUGCAGGAUAUGGGACAGUUCUUUCUAGUGUGACCUGCCCUGAAUACUGCAGGACAUCCACUAUCCCUGACCCUGCCGGAUAAUGCAAGUAACACCCCAGCUCCAACUGUCAUGAUGAUGAAAAAUGCCCCCAGUAUUGCCAAAGUGGCCCUUAGAAGCUGGUUUUUCCCUUCUUGAAGAGCACCGAAGCCUUUUUGAAGAAGGAUGCCACCUAUGUGUCAUCUGGAUGCCUAAUAAUAGCACCCGGCACUGAGUUGGGUUGGAGGUAGCUUCCUGACUCUGUUGAACCAAGUCUUUAAAGCCGAUUCUGUUAAGCCAGGUUUGUCUCGCCAGCACAUGAUGAAGGGUUGUUGCUAUGGACUGAGCCUCCAGGAUUCUAUCUGUGAUGGUGUGACUGGGGCCCGUGACAGAGGACAGCACAGUGGCUACGCCAAGGGCUGGAUAACACAGAGAUGCCCUCUGGGCCAGCACCCCCAAGUGCCAUGUAUAUUUCCAGAGCAUCUCUAAGUUUCCCCCAUUUGGCUGUGAGACCUCAUCCACAAGGCCUUCUCCUACCUCCUGUGAUGAUCUCUGGGGUCGCCACCGCAUCAGUGCCUUCACAGCAUUCCUUGGAUAUGGCAGUGCAUGGCUGGGCUGGCUCAGCUGAGAACAGCUGUCCACGCGGAACAGGAACCCAUUGGAGGCAGCACGUAUUCUCGGCUGCUCUGGUGAGAGUGGUGUUUCCAGAUUCUGGUGGGCCUCCCUCUCCAACACAGCAUACCUGGCUGACCUCCAGCUUGGCCCUGGAGGGGUUUCCCUCCUCCCUUUUUCUCCACAGCUUCAUUUGAGAGUGGGAUUCAGGAGGACUCUCCUCCACCAGCAGCUCACUUCCUGUUUGCAUUGUUCGGAAAGCCAGGCAAGAUCUGGGGAUAAGUAACCCCUGUCCCCCACAUUUACAGCUCUGAGGAUUUUCUAAAAGGCUGAUCAACAAUCUGAUUCCUGGGGACUCUGCUCUACUCUCUAAUUUCAGAAAGCAUGUUGCACUGUGGCCCUCAGCUGGGCAUCCUGCCCUUAGAGUCCUGUCUCUUGGCAUAUCCUAGGUCUCAGCUAGGUGGCGGCUUUCCUCUGCUUCUGAAGGUAAACAAUAGUAGCAGAGGGUAGAAGCCAGCUGUUCCUUGCCCCCAGGCCUCAUUUCUAGGGUUGGCACUCCAUGAUGGCAAGAGACAUUAUCUCUGGCAGACAGCAGAGGGUGGCAGGGGACUGAAGAUCUCAUUUUGCCCAUUUAUGCGAUUCCUCUCCGGCCCCAGUCUUAUUUCCUGUCUUGUUCCCACCUUCUGCCUCUGUUCAUGUAUAGGCUUUAGCACACGGCAGACAUUUAGCACACGGCAGACAUUUGACAUUCUGCAACUCUGCAAGAUGUUCAGUUUCCUGAUUAUUGAAUACCUAGACCUUCUUAAUAAGCCUGAGCCUCAUUUCCAUUCUCAUUUCCAGUAGGCCAGCUUGAACCAAACCAUAUUGCUAUCAUAAAGAAGCUUACUAGAAAAAUAAAGAAAUGGGAGAGGCUAUAGUGUGUAGGGAUUUAUACUGCAUAAUAACACUUCAAAGAAAUUAAGGAAGUGAUUACUGUAAAAGUCAGAAUCAUUGUUAAUUUGGGCGGCAGAGACUGGACUGUGGGUGGCCUGGAAAAGUUCUAUUUCUUGAUUUGCAUGCUGGGCUCCAAGGGUAUUUAGCUUAUAAUAAUUCAUCAAGCUAUGCAUUUUUGCAUACUGUGUAUAUAUGUAUUUAUUUUCCAGUAAAAAGUUAAACAAUCCAAUCAAAAGGCAGAGAUUGUCAGGCUGGAUUAAAAAUCAUGACCCAAUUUUAGAUUCUAAGAAACUAGUAGGUUGAAUGUAAAAUAAUGGAAAAAAAGACGUAGCGGGUAAACAACAACCACAAGAAAGUAGAAGUGGCUAUAGAUAUGCACCUAAUACUGAAACGUCAAAACACACGAAGCAAAAUGGACAGAAAGGCAAGAGAAAGAUAAUUCAACAAUCGUUGGAUACUUCAGUACCUCACUCUCAAUAAUAGAUGGAACAACCGGACAGAAGAUUGCUGAGGAAAUAGAAGACUUUAAUAAUACUCUAAACCAACUAGACCUAGCAACAUCUAUAGAACAUGUCACCUAACAACGGAAUAUAUACUCCUCUCAAGUGCACAUAAAACAUUGUCCAGGAAAGAUCAUAUGCUAGGGCAUAAAAUAAACAUCAAUACAUUAAAUAGGGUAGAAUAAUAAAAAGUGUGCUCUUCAGUCACAACGAAUAAAAUUAGAAAUCAAUAGCACAAAAAAUCAGGAAACUCACAAAUAUGAUAUAAUAUUCCUAAAUAAUAAAUGAGUCAAGGAGGAAAUAAAAAAACUAUUCAGAAAGUGGCUGGGCGCGGUGGCUCACACCUGUAAUCCCUGCACUUUGGGACUCUGAGGCGGGUGGAUCACCUGAGGUCAGAAGUUCGAGACCAGCCUGACCAAUAUGGUGAAACCCUGACUCUAGUAAAAAUACAAAAAUUAGCUGGGCAUGGUGGCCUGUGCCUGUAGUCCCAGCUACUUUGGAGGCUGAGACAGUAGAAUUGCUUGAACCCGGGAGGUGGAGGGUGCAGUGAGCCGAGAUCACACCAUUGUAAUCCAGCCUGAGUGACAGGGCAAGAUUCUGUCAAAAACAAAAACAAAAACAAAAACAAACAGAAAAAAGAAUUCAGAAACUACUUUGUGGUAAAUGAAAAUAAAGAUCAAUAUAUCAAAAAUUUAUAGGAUGCAGCUAAAGCAAAACUUAUAGGAGAAUUUAUCAUUGUAAAUGUCUAUAUUCAGAAAGAAGAAAAAUUAAAAAACUUGUAUGUAAAUGUUUCAAGCAGCAUUCUUCAUAAUAGCCCAAAGUGGGAACAACCCAAAUGCCAUCAACUGACAGAUGAACAAAUGUGCUAUAUGGUACAAUAGAUUGUUAAUUGGCCAGAAAAGGGAAUGAAGUACUGAUACCUUCAAAAGCAUGGAUGGAUCUUGGAAAUGCUAUGCUAAGUGAAAGAUGCCAGUCACAAAAGAAUAUACAUUAUAUGAUUCCAUUCAUGUGAAAUUCCAGAACAGAGAAGUCUACAGAGACAGAAGGUGGAAUAGUAAUUACUUAGGGCUGAGGGAGGACGGGGAGGUGGAUACAGGGAUAAUUGCUAAGGGUAUGAGGUUGCAUUUUGAGUUGAUAAAAUGCUCCUAAAUUGACUGGGGUGAUAAGUGCAAAUAUCUGUGAAUAUACUGAAACCAUUGAAGUGUACACUUUAAGUGGGUGACUUGGUUGGUAUCUGAAUUACAUAUCAAUAAAGUUGUUUUUUAAAAAGUUAAAAAGUGUUUAGAAACAUUGCUGUAAGUACCUUUGAAUACACAUGAGUCAGACAUAUUUGGGAGGAUCUGUAAAUUCAGAUUUAACCAAUAUAAUAAUAUUAAACAUUAAAAGUUUAGUUUUACUCAUCUUUAUCCAAUGUAAACUGUAUUUUAUACUAAUACUAUAAUAGAAUAAGCUCCACUUUUUAUAUUUAACGUCUUCAGCAUUUUCUAAUAUUUCAAUUCAGUUUUUGUAAUUAGCUAUUUUAAAAGUCUGUCUACAAUUUCAAGGAGUGAAUUUGCUGAAGUUUAUGUAGUAAUUCUCCCUAUCCCCUGUAAGAAAUUGUCAAACCAUUUUCCAAAGUGGUUGUACCAUUUUGCAUAUCCACCUGAAAUAUAACAGAGUUCCAGCUGCUCUACAUCCUCAUCAGCGCUCUAUGUUGUUAGCUUUUAAAAAGCUAUUCUGGCCAGGCACGGUGGCUCAUGCCUGUAAUCCCAGCACUUUGGGAGGCCAAGGCAGGUUCGAGACCAGCCUAGCCAAACAUGGUGAAACGCCGUCUCUACUAAAAAUACAAAAAAUUAGCUGGGUGUGGUGGCAGGCGCCUGUAAUCCCAGCUACUCGUGAGGCUGAGGCAAAAGAAUCCCUUGAACCACAGAGGCAGAGGUUACAGAGGCAAAAAAGUCACUUGAACCCCAGAGGCUGAGGUUGCAGUGAGCCAAAGUCACGCCAUUGCACUCCAGUCUGGGCAACAAGAGUGAAACUCCGUCUCAAAAAAAAAAAAAAAAAAAAAAAGCUAUUCAGCUAUUCUAAUAGGCGUGCAGCAAGAUCUAAUUAUAGUUUUGAUCUGCACUUCUCUAAUUAUGCUGAUGAAUAUCUUUUUAUGUGUUUAUUUGCUACUCAUAUCUUUUUGGCUAAAUAUCUGUUCAUGUCUUUUUCCAGUUUUUCUAAAAGUUGGCUAAUUUGAUUUCUUAUUGAAUUGUGAGAGUUUUUAAAAUCCAUAUUAUUUAUACAAGACCUUCAUCAGAUAUGUGAUUUACAAAUAUCUUCCCCCAGUUUGUUGCUUGUCUUCAUUGUCUUAACUGUAUUUUUAGAAGAAAAGACUUUUAAAAUUUUUGUCUAAUUUAUUAACUUUUAAUUAAUUAAUUUUGCUAAUUUUGUUUUCAGGGACUAUUUUUGUGUGGCAGGAAAUAGGGAGAUAUUGAAGAAUUUUGAGCAGGGGAUCAACAUAUUAAAAGAGACAUUAGGAUAAAAAUUGGUUUGAUUGUAGACAACAAUUUAAAUUGAAGUAGAAAUAAAUCUAGGGUAAGAGAAAUUAGCUGUUACAAUAAAUUAGGCAUGAAAUAAAUGAGGAAUUUAGGUAAGUAUGGUAACAACCAGAAUUAUACCUUAUUAAAAUUUCAUCUAUCUGCUUAACUAGAAUCUGCUAAUGAUUGAAUAGAUUUUCUUAUAGCCAGGGUUACUUCGGAUGACUCCAAAGGGAAAUCCAGAGACUUCCCUGAUCAGCAACAUGAGGAGGCCCCCAACCUCCUUAAUCCUAUUUGGCCAGUUCCUCCAAUGCCCUUUUUAAGAAAAUGUGUAUCAUGGUUUUCCAUGCAGUCAGGAAACAUAAACUUUCUAGGAUGCAAUUUAGUCAUAAUGCUUAUAUCUAUUAGUUAUUGCUAUAUCACAAACCACUUCAAAAGUUAGGGUCUUAAAACAACCAUCAGCCGGGCGCCGUGGCUUGCUCCUGUAAUCCUGGGCCGAGGCAAGCAGAUCACUUGAGGUCAGGAGUUCGAGACCAGCUUGGCCAACGUGGUGAAACCACAUCUCUACUAAAAGUAUAAAAAUUAGCCAGGCAUGGUGGUGGGUGCCUGUAAUGCCAGCUACUCGAGAUGCUGAGGCAGGAGAAUCACUGGAACCCAGGAGCGGAGGUUGCAGUGAGCUGAGAUCGUGCCACAGCACUCCAGCCUCGGCGACAGAGCAAGGCUCUGUCUCAAAAAAAACAAAAACAACCAACCAACCAACCAACCAAACAAAAAACAAAACCGUUGUUUACUUAGCUCAUGAUUCUGAAGAUUUGACCAUUUGGGGUGGGAACAGCUGGGUUCUUCUGGUUCCUUCUGGGUCCUCUACUUGGCUACAGAUGGCUUUGUUGAUCUUGGCUGAGCUCUCUCAAAUGUCCUGGUGCCUUGGCUAGCUUAUUGAAGCCCAGGCUUAGCAUUAACAAGUGCCUUCCAUGGUAUUUAAUUGGACAAAGUAAGUCAAAGGCAGCCCAGAUUCAAGGAGUGCAUACAAGGAGGGGAAUAAUCGUAGGCAUUUUUGCAAACAAUCUGCUUCGGUGCUUAUCUUCAGACCUGAGAUAUGGUCAUGUUUGUGACAUUCCUUGGAAAGAAAAGCAUCCUAGAGACCUUUCUAGGAGUUACUGGUGAAGGAAGUAUUUAGAAGAUAAACUUUCAUUAAAUUCAUUGUAGCAGGAUCUGGGAAUUAGGAUCUCAAGGGGAAAUCCCAACUCUUGUUGUUUGCUUCCCGUAAGAAUAAGAAACAGCAGCAUUAUCAAGUGCUGUACUUUACUACAAAUAUUAACCGGCAACAAUUGACCCUCUCUGGGACUUUCCAUUUAGUUAUUUACUGGAAGCUGUUCUGUAAUUUUCAGCAGUGCUGUUAUCUAUGAGAUUACUUUUCUUUUAGCUGUGCUGGGUUUUCAGACGCAUUAAUAUAGCUUAAUAUCUCUUCCUGUUGCUUCUCUAAUUAAAAGCUUGUUGGAUUUCCAAAUAAGAAAUAACAUACACAAGCACUGGUAAUUCAGGCUGCUAAUAAUUGGGAGAAAAACUUCAGCAAGGAACAGCAUCAACCAGGCAUGAGGGAUCUUAUGAUCCGGCAAAGAAAGAGGCCUAGGAGUCUGGGGAGGAUUGCAGGGCAGUGAUCUGGCUCUGAGCAGCUGGCCUCCCUGAGAGGGGCUGCUGCCGAUGAAGGACCGCCAACAGACAGCCUGAGUAUAGUGCAUGUGCCCUGUCCCAAGAUGGAUGUUUGAAUCCUGGAUCCAAGAGAAGAGCUCAUGUCUGUUUUUCCAAUCACUGCUUGUAUCCUUUCCUGCUUCCCCAAGUCCCUCAUUCCUCUCCUCCCGGCGGCUUUUGCCCUCUUUGGUCCAGGCCGCAGGAAACCGUUCCUCUAGUUCUAACAAUCGGCCACUAGAUGGCACUAGAUGUUCGGAUUAAAGUGCCUUCCUGAGCUCCACGGGCCCAGGGCGAGGGCAGGCAGGGUCUGAAGACAGCUUCUCUCGGCCACCGUCAUUCUCUCUCCCACUUCGCUCUUCACUUCUCAUCCCUUCCUCAUCCCAUUUAAACAUUAGAUUCCUUCCAGCAGCGGUGUUUGCGUGAUUUCAAAGGUAAGGACACAGAAGCCCAGGGAAUAUAAGUAACCUCCCAAAAAUCGCACAGCAGGACAGAUCUCAUAUAUCGCAGCAACAAAGAUGGCCCCCAGGAGUUCCAUGGACCCUUAUUUCUCAUCAUUUAGAAGGAGAAAGCACCUCUUUCCUCAGUUCCUCUCUUCAGGACUCCCAGUACCCCUGCUUCUGGUGACAGCCCAUGGCAGGUGGGGAGGACGUGCAGAUGGAAAGAAUGAGAAGGGCAGGUUUGGGCCCUCAUGGGUGACAGAAAAGUACCAGAGUUCUGGUUCCUCUUUGAACACACAUGUUCUCUGGGUUUCGCCUUGCAGCCCAAGAAGAGAGGAGGCUUGGAAUCACCACACUUCCCACAGCAAGGGCAAUCUUUAAAGGCAGUAAGGUGUGACGCUCCAGACUGGCAGCUUGGCAAGACAGAGCCCAUGGAUACCAGCACACGGGAAUCUGGACGGCUCACUCUGACAGCAGUCAGCACUGGGAACAAAAGGAAUGGAGGGAAAAAAGCGCAAAUGUAUUUUUACAUAUUGUAGGCAUAUGGCCACAAGACCAGCAGAAAUAUAUUUAAUUACCAAUUGCACGCAUUGAGGAGAAAAACACUGGAAAUGGGGGAAAAACUGUAUACACAGCAAUAUUAUUCUAAUUUAACUUUUCACCUCAGUUUUUUUUUUCUUUCUUUAAUUGAAAAUGGAAGGGAAUGUGGGUUGGAAUCGCAAAGGGUUAUCUUCUGGAAUUCUAUCAAAGGUGAUGUGGGAUUUUGACAUGCCUUCUUUAACAGCAUAACAUUAUAGAAAGAAAUAGGAAAGUUUUCUUUUAGUUAUUUUAAUUAUGAAAUAAUUUGACCAAGGCGUUUUGGGGGAGUGGGGCAGACCGGAUUUGAAAUAUAACAGUUAGACAAUCUUACUGUCAUGUUAAAACUGUACUUUUGAUGUUACACAUUAGGCCUCAACAAUUAAUAACCUAAUCUUGAAAAAUUAUAUUCUUGUUCUUUUCUAUGAAAGCAGAAUACUUCAACCCCAUUUAUUGUCAGGUAUUGUCCUAGCCAGUGGAGGUACAGAGGUGAAUCAGAUGUCAUCCCUGCACUGAAGAAGCAUAGCCUAGGCUGGGAGACAAAUACACAUAUAUAUAAUUAUAAUGUUAUACCAUUAAAUUAUUAAAUAUGUGAAAAUUAUCAUUAGCUAAAAUCACAAUUAUAAUACACAUAAUACCAUCUAUAUAAGGCAAUGAUGUAGCUAUAUGAAUCCAGGGGCCAUAGAGGAUUGACUCUUAGUUCAGUCUGGGUGUCAGUCACACUGGAGGACCAGGGAGGAGACCUCUUCCAGGAAAAGCUGAUGAAAAGGAUCAGUGAGAAAAAGCCCGGGAAGAAGGCAGUUGCAUUUUGCAGAAUGAAGGAGUUUGGGCCAGUGUGAGCCAGCUCCCUUCCUAGGGUGCCGGCUCAGGGAGUCAGGUAAUGGGGCCAGGGAAACGUGUGCCCACUGACUUGGGAAAGAGAGAGGGGCCCAUACCUCCUUCUUGGCAGGAAAGAAAAUCACAGCCCCGAAAAAGUAACUUGCCAGGAGCCCCCUUCUUUGUAGCAUUCCUAUCACUGACUUCCUGUUAGCCUGGGUCUCCUGUUCUCACCCUGCUCUUUGAAAUCCUUGGUGGCCAGUGCCGGCUAUGUAGGUGACCUGUGCUCCCUGGUCCCAUGGAGGUUCUGCCCAGCUGACCAGCCUUGCAGUCUGUUUCUGCAGCCCAGAUAAUGGUUCAGAGGCAUGUUAAUGUGUGCUUUGCUUUAUGUAGCAAAUAUCAUCUUGAAAAGUUUUUUUGUACAUUUACUUUUUUUUUGUAAAGCGACCUACAUAAUAAAAGCACUAGGGGAGCUGGUUAUUUAAAGGAACCCUGUAGUGAAUCUUUUCAUAAUGUAGAAGCCAUUCCUUAAUUAAUCUUUGUUUUUCAUCAGACAUACCUGUGCCUCUGUGGCUUUUCUUUUUUUUUUUUUCUAAGAGGAAGCGGCCUAGGCUAUAGUGCCAAGUGCGUGAGACUGAGGGCCAGGGCUUCCAGAGCGCAUGCUGAGCUGUUGCUGGCUGCCACUGGGUUGAGGAUGUGAGCAUAACCUUGGGGUCAGUUCUAUCUUCUGACAAAGGCACAAUCAAAUGGGCUUAGGUUCAAAUCCGGGUUUUACCAUCCAUCGACUUCAUUUGGCAAUUCACUUGUUUCCUUGAAUGUUAGUUCUUUACCCAUGUACUGGGUGGUUACAUACGUCAAAUCAAAAAGUUUCUCCGAGGGCCUGGCAUCAUAGCUAUGACUAAGGGUUUGCUUGCCCCCACUCCAAUUCUACUCUGCUCCACUCUGCAACAGCCCCUUGGAGCAAGAGCCACAGCUGGACUUGUUGGGAGGAAAUACUUGUUAACUUGGGACCUCCCUGCAACUGUUUCCUCAGAGGAGAGGAAAUGCCCACUCUACUCCCCAGGAGGAAGGUGGAUAAAAGACAAUAUUUUAGACUAUUCUUUACCCCUGGUUACCCAUGGUAAAAAGUGAUUGAUCUUAAUAGUAAAGUUUCAGAUACAGCCAUCUUGGGCAGGUCUGUACAUUCAAGUAUGGUAGUAUGGGCUGCCCUCCCCCACCGCCACACCCUCAGACAGGCCCAUAUGUUUUAAAUUGAUCCAAAUCUGCUCUUUUUUUCCAUAUCUGAGCCCACCCCUGUGGCUCUUCAGGAGCUUUUGGUCUGAGCAAGGGUCCCACAGCCUCCCCUGAUCCUGUUUCAUCAGUUAUAAACCUGUUGGAACAUUGUGUCUGCUCAGCUUGCUAGAACUUUUUACCUCCCUAUCCUCUAGCUGCUGGGGAGGGCAGACACCUGCUUGGCACCACACAUGCUUUCCGGUCAUCUGGUCACCUGUGGGCCUGCAGCUAGGGUGGUGGUUGUGGCUGGAGCUUAGAGCCACAUCCAGUGAGGGUCACAGAGCUCCUCAGAGAAGUGCUGGGAGUGAGACUCCAACCCGCCCCAGCACUGAGGUGGGGUUGAGGGAUGUGGCUGAAUGACCAAGGGGAUGGCCAUAGACUCUAUCCAGGAAGAGAAAUCCCAAGGGCAGGCAGGUUAACCUGUCCCCACAAACUCAUGUCCAGGCCCUGGGGUUCCCAACCCUGACUGAUGAGAACCGACAGCUAUACCCUUUUGGUUGGCAUUUCUGAGAAUUGCGUGGACAAUUCUCUUCUCUUUUCUUACUGAAGGAAGGACAGAUAUAGAGGUGGUUCUAACUCUGGUGCUGGUAUAUUUGUGACUAUCACUGGGAUCAUAUUACCAGAGUAAGUUUGACCAAUUUGGAGAAUUGGCCUUGGAGAGGUCAACACUUAAGAGAAAGGCCAAGGCCAUGGCCUGGCUCAAAUGGAUCCCAUUUCUUGCACAUGAGUUACACUGACUCAGUUAUUGGAGAGCCCUCUUGUGCUUGGGUAGGAAUUUGAAAUGUUGAAGUAGUCAUGGGUUAGGGACCUGCUGCUAAUGACCCUCCUGUAACCCAAACUUAAGAUACUUCUGGAAAAUAGACUACAUCAGAAGACUUCUAAGGUCCCUCAUUCACUCAUUCAUCUAUUCUUUUAUCUGGGAUUUAUCAGGGACCUACCAUGUACCAGGUUCUAUACCACCUGUUGGAGAAACAAUGGUGAAUGAGUCCCUGCACUUCCAAGGCUUGCAGUCCAGUAGUAGAGAGGCAAGUGAAGACAAUUAACUCGGUAUGAGAAGCACAAAAGAUAGAUAGGGGAGCACAGACCAGGGACAGCACACCCAGUUUAGAGGGACUGGGAAACAUUUCUGGAGAAAAUGAUCAGUAAUGUUAGGUGUUUUUGUCCAGGAAAGGCUGAGGGGGGUGACAACACCCUUCCAAGAAGGCUUGCACUGUGAACAACACUGAAGUGACUUGCCCAGGGGCACUCUAUAAGUAGCAGAGCCUGGAUUGUUCAAAAGUGAAACCCUACGUUCUUAGUCACGUUGCUCCACUGUCAAUAUUGAAAUGAUUAUUCAAGAGGCCCAACUAUUGAUUAUAAACAAUAGUGCAUUGCAGAUCUGGCUGCUUUCUUGGCCAUGUGGGGCUUUGAGCUCUAGCCCCUAAAUCAGCAGAGAAAACACAAUCCAGCCACAGAUGGUGGCUCACACCUGUAAUCCUAGCACUUUGGGAGGCUAAGGCGGGUGGAUCACCUGAGGUCAGGAGUUCGACACCAGCCUGGCCAACAUGGUGAAACCCGUCUCUACUAAAAAUACAAAAAAAUUAGCUGAGCGUUGUGGCAGGCACCUGUAAGUCUCAGCUACUUGGGAGGCUGAGGCAGGAGAAUCGCUUGAACCCAAGAGACAGAAGUUGAAGUGAGCAGAGAUUGCACCACUGCACUCUAGUCUGGGUGACAGAGUGAGACUCUGAAAAAAAAAAGAAGGAAGAAAGGAAGGAAGGGAGAAAGGAAAGAGAGAAAAGAAAGAAAGAAAAAGAAAGAGGGAAGAAAGAAAAAGAAAGGAAAGAAAAAGAAAGAAAAGAAAAAGAAAGAAAAAAGAAAGAAAAAGAAAGAAAGAAAAAGAAAGGAAGAAAGAAAGGAAGAAGAGAAGAAAGGAAGAAAGAAAGGAAAGAAAGAAAGAAAGAAAGAAAGAAAGAAAGAAAGAAAGAAAGAAAAAGAAAGAAAGAAAGAGAAAGAAAGAAAAAGAAAACACAAUCCAAACUAUUGAGUAGUCAGGGGAGUUAGGCAGGAACAAUACCGAUGUUGUCUGGACCCUGAAUAACAUAUUCCAAACAACUUUCUCAUUGCCUAAGUAAGUCGAAAGUACUGUUUUGCAAUUUGGUUGCAGUGUGCAAGUUUGGUUGAUUUCAUGUGUCUUAAAGAAUUAUGCUCUGUAGACACCAUGUGAUUACUUUUUAAAGUGAAGUGAAGUAAGAGUGAUACUUAAUAUCACAGUAUUAGGGCAAUGCCUUUAUAAAUUAGAUGCCUACUUUAAAAUUUAUAAAAUUGUGGCACCAAAUAUAUGUACAGUCAACCUGCUGUAUCUGGAGGUUCCACGUCUGUGGAUUCAACUAAUCAUGGAUUGAAAACAUUUUUACAAGAUGGCUGGUCAUGUCUGUCCUGAACAUGUAUGAAAUUUUUUAUUGUUAUUCCCUAAACAAUAUAGUAUAGCAACUAUUUACAUAACAUUUACACUGUAUUAGGCAUUACAAAUAAUUUAGAGAUGAUUUAAAGUAUACAGGAGGUUGUGCAUAGGUUGUAUGCAAAUACCAUGCCAUUAUACAUGAGAGACUUAAGCAUCUGUGGAGUUUGAUAUUAGCAGUAGGUCCUGGAAUCAAUCCUCCAGUGAUACUAAGGGAUAACUGUAUAUUCAUAUUCUGUCUCCUGGAAAGAUAUAAAAUGUCUCACAACAAAAGUAAUUUUUUUUAAAAAUUAAGAUUCAAGGAAGUAACACUAGGAAGUUCAAUUUGAAUGGAAUAUACAUAAAAUUUAUUUCUGGGUUCCCUGGGAGCCAAAGCAAAAAGGGAAACAUGAAAAAAAUGCAUAAUUUUUUUUUAUCAAAAAGGAGAAAGCAGAUUCACUCCCCCUGGAAAAAAAAGUGUUUGCAAAGACAAAAAUUCUAAAAAUAGUAAUUUAACAUAGACUUAACCUUUGGAAGAAAGAAGAAACAAUUCAAGGUGUUUGUAAUGUAAUGGAUUAUCAUAUAAUCAAGAACUAUGAUGAAAUAGAGAACACUCUUUCCUUUAAACCUAGAACAGAGAAAGAAUUCCUAUCAGAGAACUAUUAAUGGAAAGUCAGAACCACUAGGCUCUGAUGUGCAGAUCUAGGUUCAAAAUGCAGCGCUUAUUUAUCUAUUUAGUUAUGUGUUUAUGAGGCAACUAUUUGUUGAUUACCUAGUCUGUGCCAUUCAUGUUUCUAGGGCUGUGAUGGAGUGAUGAAAAAGAAAAAGUCCCUGCUCAUAAUUCACAUAAUGACUCCAGCACAUUAAUAUAAAAUUUUACAGUUUUAAUUGUCACAUGAUGUGUGAUGGAUGAAUUAUGAGUUAAUCAACUUACAUGAUACUUUAUGGUUUGCAAAAUGUUUUCACACAUCAUUACAACCCAAAUCUCCUUGCAGAAGCAUGGGGACAUUCUAGACAUAGCUCAACAUUCAAAUUUGGACUAAUGCUCCUGGUUAAGGAGUCUUGAUAUAUCAUGAAAGUAUUGGUUGUGCUUAUAUUUUUCCAUUAAAAAGGAUAUGCUUAAGAGCCCAUUUCAGUAAUUAGGAAGAAAGUUAGCUAGCAAAUGCCACAAGAGACUUUAACAUACCUUGAUGUGCUUAAGAGUUGAACAUUGCACUCAGUGACACUUAGUUUAAUGAAUAUCACAAUUUUCUUCACAUCCCAUGAAGCAUUGCAGGACUUUUGGCAAAAUGUGAGGUCCUUCUGCUAGGCACAGCUAGGAAAUACUAAUAACUGUUAAAUGAGAACCUCUUGUUCCUAUCUUAAGGCAAUGACAUCAUUCAUAUGGUUCACUCAGCCUCUCAGGCCUUUUAUUCUCCUCCUUCAGCAUGCCUAUUGCAUACAAUAGGUAAAGAAUUCUCCUUCUUUUCCAGUUAAUUAACCCACCUGCUAAUAAUACUCUUCUGUCCUUGAUUGAUUCAGAGCAACCUCCAGCUGUCAGCCUCCUAUCUAGUCAGAAGCUUUUGAUGAUGAAAAUGGAGUCCAUAAGAAAGAAAUGGGCUACAAAUAUUAAGUGCAGGCAGGCAAGGUGCAAGUAGGGUGAUAUCUUAUCCCAGUUUGCCCAGAAUUUUAUGCUUUUAGUGCUGAAGAUCCCAAGUCCUGGGAACCCACUAAAUAGGACUAGGAAUUGUUCCCCUAAGUGCAGGGAAUCAUCUCUAUAGUCAAACAGCAACAAAUGAGUAAACAUGAGGGGGCAGGUAACAGCAGAUGUUUUAGUUUGGAUUCCUCCAAUAGCAGGCUCUAAGUCUAGGAUUCCAUGCAAGUGGUUUACUGGGAGAUGAUCCUAGGAAACAGUGGUAGGGGAGAAGAGAAAUGAGAUAGGAAAGCAAUUGCCACUGUGGGCAUCUGGAACCUAUUCCUACUGAGAAACACUGAGAGUAGUGCAAUACAUGUGCCUUUGAGCCAUGCUGCCUGAGGGGAAUUGGAGUUGGGGUAACUACCAGUUGUUAGUUGAAGUCUGUUCUUAGUGGUGGAGGCGGAGUUUGCUAAUUGUGCCUGCUGAGCCUAUGGGCAGAGUGGACCUCAAUUUUCCGAGAAAGUUCUCCAACCAAAAGAUGCAGAUGCUGCAGGUAGAAGCUGUGCUAUAUUGCACACUGAAAUGGUAAGGUAGGACAGUGAUGAUGCUGUUACAAUGGGUCUACAUUGUUUUCCAGGUCAACUCAUUCUACAGCACUGACUGGCUAACUCUUCCCUGUGUGGACACAGCUUCUUUGGUAAUAUAAGAAAAAAACAUGUGUGCUAGAUAUGGGGGAGAGUAAGGAUUUGAGUGGAUAUUUGAAAGGCAGAUGAGUUUGAUGCCUUGGAAUCAUGCCUAAUAUAUGUUCUUUUCAUUCGUGAUUAUCAUAUAGCCAAACUAUAGAUAUGUGGGAUUAGUAGUCUCCAAUAAGGCCACUUCCAAGUAGUCUUCCAAGUAGCCUUCAAUCAUACCACUUCAGGCAUUAAUUCUAUUAGUCUGAAUGAUUUGGGCAGAUGAGACUUUUGAACACCACUUGGUCUUACCAUGGCUUAUGAGGCCUCAUUAUCAUAAAAAGUAGACUUGUUCUUUCACUUAUAUCUUUCUCUGAGCCAUUAUAAACCAUUUUAUUAUUUCUGUCUUUGAGCUGAACAAAGUUGUCUCUCAGGUCUCCUAUAGAAAUAUCUAGAACAUGACCUCCUUCUGAAGUUUGUAAUGUAUUCAGAGUGGAAUGCGAUGGUAAGCUGUGCACCUGGGUAUACAAGCAAGGUACUUGGAGUUGAUGGGUGAGCUACAUUCAGCCUCAUUCAGCCCUGAAGACCAAGAUUGUUCAUCUUCCAGCUGACCUGACAAGCACCUCUGCCAAAUAGAGAUUAUUGAAUCUGGAUAGACGCUGAAGAGUCAAUCAGAUUGUUGUUCAAGGAGUUUAGCAAAGACAAUUGGUGAACAGAAGCCAUAUGUAAUUAAAAGCCUCACUGUAGGGAGAGACCAGUGUGAGAAUUGCUUGGUUGUGGUGGAGAGAUCUUAGGCACAAAUGCAGAGCAGUUGUGUGGAGCUGUGGUCAUGACAGACGGUCUUUGGAAUGAGAAGCAAUGUUUCCCUGCCAUGGAGAGGAAAAGGAAACCAGGUGGCUCAACCUGGCUUGUGUCUUAAAAGUCAACCCAGCAUCUAUGAGUCUGCCUCUGAAGCUAUUGGGACACUCUUCUGUAUUCUUCAGUUCCCACGUGCAGCCUUAUGAGAAAUAGUUAAUUGUCUCCACCAACCCGAAAUAACCCAACUAACGUAUCUUUUAAGUAUUUGAAAUCACCACUCACCUGUCUCUGACUUAGGCUAAACAAUUUUAAUUCCAUUAUUUUUUAUUUUUACCAUUUAAACAUUAGUUUAAUUUUAAUUUUUUUUUUUCGGAGAUGGGGUCUUACUCUGUCGCCCAGGGCUGGAGUGCAGUUGCACAUGGCUCACUGCAGCCUCAACCUCCUGUGUUUAAGCGAUCCUCCCUACCUCUAGCCUCCUGAGAAGCUGGGACCACAGGCAUGUGCCAGCAUGCCCUGCUAAUUUUUACUUUUUUAUUUUUGUAGAGAUGCAGCCUCCUUAUGUUGCCCAGGGCUGGUCUCAAACUCCUGGGCUCAAGUGAUUCUCCUGCCUCGGCCUCCCAAAGUGCUGGGAUUAUAGGCAUGAGCCACUGCACCUGGCCUUAUUUUGAAUUUGAAGACUUAUACAUUCAAUUCAGCCUCUUCAAGUCCUCCUACCUAGGAGGCACUGGGGAGUAGACUAGCAUGAGAUAUGAGACUUAGGGUCAGAAAUACAUAGAUUCCAAGCUUGGCCCAGCAGUCCACUUUAAAUGUGCAUAUGGGCAAGCUACUUAACUUCUCUGAAGCUUAAAUGAGAAUUAUAUUUAUAAUUAACAAUAUUAUUAUUACCCCCACAAAAAAUAAGAUACGUGAAAAUCUUUUUCUCUACCCUUCCUUGCCCUCAGAUAUAUUCUAUGAAAGACUGAGAUUUGUUAUCUUAUAAAAUAGAAUCUAAUAAAGAAAAUAAAAGAGUAGGAAUUAAAAACAUGAUAAAUGGAGAAUAAUAAGUGAAGAAAGCCAAUAUUAUUUGAGCUACAAACUUAAUAGUGAGCUUCUUGGAAAUGAACAAAAGCAAAAUGCAAUAGUCACAUCCUACUCUAAUAAAAUGAAAUAUAAAAUUUUAUAAAGUAAGAAAUAUGAUUUUUAGUUUACCUGUAAUGUGAAUUGUUACAUUGGUUCUGUUUUAAGAGACAUUGAAACAGACAGCAGAAAUUUUAUAGUAGACAGAGAAAGGACCUCUGUAUCCUAUUUCUUUUAUUAACUGCAAAUUAAAAGCUAUGCAUGUAGAGUUGUGUUGGAGGUUUCUUGAAGGUAUUUUCAUAGACAGAUGAGAGAAGAUAUAGCCAAGGUAGCCAAGACAUGUUUUUUCUUUUCUUUUCUUUUCUUUUUUCUUUUUUCUUUUUGGGCGACAGGUUCUCACUCUGUUGCCCAGGCUGGAGUGCAGUGGCGCGAUCAUAGCUCACUGCAGCCUCAACAUCCUGAGCUCAAGCCAUCUUCCCAUGCAAGCCCCCCAGUAGCUGGGACUACAGGCAUGUGCCAGCACACCUGGCUAAUUUUUUAUUUUUAGUUUUUGUAGAGACGAGGUCUCACUACGUUGCCCAAGCUAGUCGUGAACUCCUGGACUCAAGGGAUCCUCCCACCUCAGUCUCCCAAAGUGUUGGAAUUACAGGCAUGAGCCACUUCCUGGCCAAGGCAUGUGUUUUCUAAUAAAAGUGAAUAAAUGUAGCAACACAGCAUGAAGGAUCUAGAGUAAUUGUUUAUGUCCUUUCUCUGUUUUCAAAUAUGAAUUGCCUUGGUUUAUUUUCAUAUUGCACUAGCUUCCUAACUGGUCUCCUUGCUGCAAUCUUGCAUGCCGUGAGUCUUUUCUCUAUGAGGCAGCCAGGACAAUAUUUCUAUUUUGUUGUGUCACUUGCUGGUUUUAAGCUAUUUCUACGGUCCACUCCUAAAUUCUUGAAGUUUUUCAGAUAUGCCAUGUAGUUCCCCCUUUGCACAUUCUCCUUUUCCUGGAAUACCAUCGCUAUUGUCAACUAGAUUGCCAGGUUAAUAUAAUCCUUUGGAAGUCAGAUCAGACAUCGCUACUUCUAGAAAAACUUAACCACCCCAACCUUGUCUGAAUUUGUUUCCUCUCCUCUGUGUUCUUAAGCAUUCUACUACACAGUAUUGUUAUUUUGUAUUUACCUGUCUAUAAGUCAGAGGCACCAUUGUCAGAUCUUCAUCAAGCCUUCUGUGUUGGCAGAGUCCUGUUAUAUAGGAGGGGCUUAAUACAUAUUUCUUAAGUGAGCGAAUGACUUAGUAGGAGCUGGCUUUCAAACCAAUAGUCAAUGUCAUGUUAAUAACCAAUGAACAUUUUCCCAAAGUAUGUUUCAGAAAACACUGCUUCUGAGAAAUAUUAUAGGUGUCCUGGACAGAACACUUCCAUAGUUAAGGAAGUAGAAAAUGCUGCAUGUUCUAUCUCUCCAAAAAGUCGCUAUUUUCAUUAGAAUAUUAAAGGCUCUGGCAUGUUUUUCAAUUAAUAAACUUAUUUACUAUAUAUUUUUCUUACUUUUGUGUGUGUGUGAUUGUGUAGUACCUGUUGGAACUAAUUACUUACGACAAAAACAGCUUGAAAAACCUUGCUCUGCAGGCUUUACUUAAAAUUCGGAAAUCAGAUCAAGCACUGUAGCUCAAGUGCCUGUAAUCCCAGCACUUUAGGGGGCCAAGGUGAGAGGAUCACUUGAGGCCAGGAGCUUGAGACCAGC